AGAGACAGCAGCCGCCGCGGUAAUACGUAGGUGGCAAGCGUUGUCCGGAAUUAUUGGGCGUAAAGGGCUCGCAGGCGGUUUCUUAAGUCUGAUGUGAAAGCCCCCGGCUCAACCGGGGAGGGUCAUUGGAAACUGGGAAACUUGAGUGCAGAAGAGGAGAGUGGAAUUCCACGUGUAGCGGUGAGAUGCGUAGAGAUGUGGAGGAACACCAGUGGCGAAGGCGACUCUCUGGUCUGUAACUGACGCUGAGGAGCGAAAGCGUGGGGAGCGAACAGGAUUAGAUACCCCAGUAGUCCCUGUCUCUUAUAA
rnacentral:rRNA from 1 species